rnacentral:rRNA from 1 species
UAGAUACCCUGGUAGUCCACGCCGUAAACGAUGUCGACUAACCGUUGGGUUCUUUAUGGACUUGGUGGUGAAGUUAACGCGAUAAGUCGACCGCCUGGGGAGUACGGCCGCAAGGUUAAAACUCAAAGAAAUUGACGGGGGCCCGCACAAGCGGUGGAGCAUGUGGUUUAAUUCGACGCAACGCGAAGAACCUUACCUGGUCUUGACAUCCUCAGAACUUUCCAGAGAUGGAUUGGUGCCUUCGGGAACUGAGUGACAGGUGCUGCAUGGCUGUCGUCAGCUCGUG